rnacentral:lncRNA from 1 species
CGGGUCCUGUAACGUGUACUUCUGUUAAAUGAGAAAGUGAUUUCAGUACCUCGUUUGCAUCUCGUGUUAAAUAGUUGUCUGCCGAACUUCUUCAUUUUCCUUUCCUUCUUCUUUGUCUGUGUUACGUCGUUCCAAGGUCGUCGGCGACCUUGUCAUUCGCCGAGCUUCUUUUCGGCUUUUAUGCCGUUAGGAGAUACCCAAUUGUCAGGUUCGCUGGAAUUUUUCUCCGCUAAAGUCGGGGCUAAGUUCGACUCCCUUGAUAAUCCGAACGGAGAAGCCC